CAUACUUUUAGCAUUUUCUCAUGACAUUUUUUUUAUUGGCUUAUGAAAAAUUAAUUUUCCUACAAUUCCAAGAUUGACAUUGCACUUAUCGAUCCCCCUACCACUUUGACUACUCUUCUAUCUUCUUUCAUUUUUCUCUAAGUUUAAACAACUAGCUGAAUUUUUGCACUUCAAGAUGGACGUUGCAUCAGUUUUAGGUGGUCUCUCUCAAAUGGUUUACAAAUCUCUAUCACAACUUUGCCUUUACAAAAAAAAAAAAAAUCUGCAUAUGUUUCUCUCAAUUUCAUCUUGAACUCCUCUUCAGUUAUGUAAUUAAAUUUCAUACAAAGUGGUUCUAUCAAAUUGAAUUUAAACUAGAGUUUUCUUUGGGAAGAAAUGAAGCUAUUUGACAAAGACCAGAAUAGAGCAAUUGGGGUUUCCAGCAAUGGAAGAUACAAGUGACUGAAAAAGCAUCUGGUGCCAAAGAUUAAGUUGUUAUUAGUUCAAGAAGGUUCCAAUUAUGUUGUGGAAAAUACACGCUUACUGGCCAUAGAUUUAAACUGACUUUGAUUGAUCGAACCAUUUGGAUCAAAGUUGAAGAAAGUCUGAUACCUUCUAACCAUUUUGAUUUUGUGUCUUUCAAGGAUGUCUUGGACUCGGACAGAGAGGAUAAGUACUUAGAUGUUAUUGGACACGUUGUGGAAAGGGAUGAAAUACAAGACAAAGAAAUCAAUGGAUCUAAGAGCAAGCUGCUUUACAUUACAUUGGAAAAUUCUGAGUGAGUGCUUUUGGACCUAAGAGCAAGCUGCUUGACAUUACAUUGGAAGAUUAUGAGUAAAACUUAUUUAAAAGACAAUGGAAUAGAAACCAAGAGCUUGCCAACAAUAAAGGUAAAUUAAGUAUUGUGAAGAGUUUGUCAAGUCACCACAAGUUUGAUAGAUUUUAGAGAUGGCCAUCAACCCGUCUUAUGUUUAACAUUUGUCAUUGUUAGCUUUUAUUACCAUCAUAUGUCUAUAAUAUAUCUGAAAUGAAAUGUAUUUACUAUUCAAUUGGGUGAAAGGUUUAUAAGCAUAUAUUUAUGUGUAUUGAACCUUGGUUGUUUGCAGUUUAUUAAACAUUGAAUAUCGCAUUGCAGUUAUG